CCACCGUGUCCAGUGUUGUCUCCACCAGAAAGCAAGUAGGUGAAAAAACUAAACACACUUUAUACAUAGCUGUACCUACGACCGCCGUGGUUAAGUAACGUUAGGUUAAUGUUAAUUAUAUUCAACGUUUGUAACAAGACGUCCUCAUAACGGCCACCAAUAAAGGUAGCUCUGAGCUAGCGAGAUGCUAAAGUAGCUAACGGCUUCCUUACACGUGCUACAUGUUGGAUUAUGAUCCGUCGGGUCUGAACGGAUCUAAAGAAGUCCUGAUGCAGACCCCAUCGGGCUUCAGGUGUUGUGCAUGCUUUGGAUAUGGCUUUAUUGCUGAAUGUGAUGGAUGAAAGGCUGUCCUGCAGUUUGUGCUGGUCCUCUGGGACAUGAGGUACUGAAGAUGAUGUCAGGCCAGCAGGGUCUCCUCAUUGCCCUGGCCUUCAGCACUGAUGCAACAUCAUGUUUCUGCUGCAGUAAUGGAUGACGUCAGUACUCCAGGCUUCUGCAGGUGCUCCGCAACACAGGUCGCUGUGAUGGCCGGAGCAUGAAACUCGUGAACUUGUGACAGCAGUUUCUGCUGCUGUAAAGGAUAAACUCGUUAUCCCAGGAUUCAGCAGGGACUCUGCUAUACAGAGUGAUGCAGAGCCAUUGGUGACCAGCUGAGAUCUGUCAGGACGGCUGUCACUCCCUGCAGGAUAAAAUUGUCUCAUUUUCUGACUUUGGGGCAGCUAUGCAUCUUGACUGCAUCAAAUUCCUGCCUUGUCCUUUGUCAACUCUGCACUAAAUGCCAAAUAAAAUAUUUAAUUUCAUAA